rnacentral:rRNA from 1 species
CAGGUGACCUCGAUCAGUAGG